CAGCCGCCACGGUAAUACAGAGGGUGCAAGCGUUAAUCGGAAUUACUGGGCGUAAAGCGCGCGUAGGUGGUUCGUUAAGUUGGAUGUGAAAUCCCCGGGCUCAACCUGGGAACUGCAUUCAAAACUGACGAGCUAGAGUAUGGUAGAGGGUGGUGGAAUUUCCUGUGUAGCGGUGAAAUGCGUAGAUAUAGGAAGGAACACCAGUGGCGAAGGCGACCACCUGGACUGAUACUGACACUGAGGUGCAAAAGCGUGGGGAGCAAACAGGAUUAGAUACCCGCGUAGUCCCUGUCUCUUAUAC
rnacentral:rRNA from 1 species